rnacentral:SRP_RNA from 1 species
CACAGCAAGUGGCGUUGACGUAUGGGUCUUGCGCAAUGGAAACCUAUGAACCGUGUCAGGUCGGGAACGAAGCAGCACUAAGUAGGACCUUUCAUGUGACGUGAGGGUGCCUGGACUGAGUUAACUACUGUGG